GAUGAACGCUGGCGGCGUGCCUAACACAUGCAAGUCGAGCGAUCUUCUUCGGAAGAGAGCGGCGGACGGGUGAGUAACGCGUGGGUAACCUGCCUCAUACACAUGGAUAACAUACCGAAAGGUAUGCUAAUACAAGAUGAUAUAAGAGAUUCGCAUGGAUUUCUUAUCAAAGCUCCGGCGGUAUGAGAUGGACCCGCGUCUGAUUAGCUAGUUGGUAAGGUAAUGGCUUACCAAGGCGACGAUCAGUAGCCGACCUGAGAGGGUGAUCGGCCACGAUUGGGACUGAGACACGGUCCAAACUCCUACGGGAGGCAGCAGUGGGGAAUAUUGCACAAUGGGCAAAGCCUGAUGCAGCAACGCCGCGUGAGCGAUGAAGGCCUU
rnacentral:rRNA from 1 species